rnacentral:misc_RNA from 1 species
GCAGGGUGAUCCAGAGUGUCCCCCGUUGUCUGCCGGAGGCAGAGCCGUACUCCUCGCGAGCACGGACCAGCGGCGGUUGGAGUGGAGCCAUAAGGCUGGCCUGGACGGUACGUCGGGUCGGGCCUGCCCGCUCGACGACUUAUAGACUGGCUUCCCGGUGCUCGACUCCGACCGAGGAAGGAGGGCAGCUUUUGCCCGGUGUGGUGCACGCCGUAUGGCGGGGCCUCCCGCCGAGGGCGAGCCGCACUUUGUGGACUGCAUGCAGUGCUCACUGUGACGGCGGACCCACGGUCGGUGAGCGUCACUUGUGCACCAGUGCUGCUGGUAUUGGGAC